GCAAUUUCUAUCUACACCACACUUUCUAAAGAUUCCACUAUUUUUUUUUCUUUCUUAACAACCUUUUCAUUUCUUUUUGAAAUCGACAAAUUUUAAUUAUCACGUAUAUUCUUGAAGAAUACUAAAAUAAUAUUUAUGCGAUGGCAGAAGAAUAGUGUUAUAAAUUUAGAACAAUAUAUUGGAGAAUAUAGAUGUAGAUUAUUUUAAAAAACUAAUUAAUGAGACAAAAUUAAUAUCGUUUAGUAGGGGUUGCAAAUUAGUUUUAGUAUGAGUUGGGUGGUGCGACUUAAAUUUAAAAUCUAACCCCAAAAAAAAAAAAAAAUUGGUUAACUUAGAAUACUAGAAUACUGAAUAGUGAAUAUCCAUAAACAUGCAAAAAAGAGCUUAAUAAACUUUUAUGUCAGUGGUCUAUAAUAUAUAAGAAAAAAAAAAAAAAAAAAAAGAAGAAGAAACAAGAAAUCUUGUGACCACCAUUACACCUUUUUCCAUUUUCCUGGUUUCGUCGUAAGCUAGUCAAGAUUUGUUUUAGACUUUUAGUGUUCUGUAUUUGGCCAAAUAUGUUAUCUACUUUAAUAUACUGAAAUGUUUGCCUUGUUUUUUUUUAUCAUUUGUGUUCUCG
rnacentral:lncRNA from 1 species